rnacentral:ncRNA from 2 species
CAAGCUCGUUUCUAUGGGUCUG